rnacentral:pre_miRNA from 1 species
UUAACCCAUUUAACAACUUCACCCAUUAAAUUAAAUGAGUUAUGGGUUGAUCCAACCCAUUUAACAAAAUGAGUUGGGUCAACCCAUAACUCAUUUAACCCUAAACUCAUUUGAUUAUGAGU